UUCGCCCUUAGAGUUUGAUCCUGGCUCAGAACGAACGCUGGCGGCAUGCCUAACACAUGCAAGUCGAACGAAGGCUUCGGCCUUAGUGGCGCACGGGUGCGUAACGCGUGGGAAUCUGCCCUUGGGUUCGGAAUAACAGCGGGAAACUGCUGCUAAUACCGGAUGAAGACGAAAGUCCAAAGAUUUAUCGCCUGAGGAUGAGCCCGCGUUGGAUUAGGUAGUUGGUGGGGUAAAGGCCUACCAAGCCGACGAUCCAUAGCUGGUCUGAGAGGAUGAUCAGCCACACUGGGACUGAGACACGGCCCAGACUCCUACGGGAGGCAGCAGAAGGG
rnacentral:rRNA from 1 species